rnacentral:rRNA from 1 species
AUGGCCGAAUCACUGGUUCUCUCUGUGGUCCAAGGGGUGGCCGGCAAGGCUGCAGACGCGCUCAUCCAGACCGUGACCCGCAUGUGUGGCCUCGACGACGACCGACAAACGCUGGAGCGCCAUCUGCUAGCUGUCCAGUGCAAGCUGGCCAACGCAGAGGAAAGGAGCCAGACCAAUCCCUACCUCAGGAGCUGGAUGGAGAAUCUCAAGGGCGUCGCCUAUGAGGCCGACGAUGUCCUCGACGACUUCCAGUACGAGGCGCUGCGCCGCGAAGCCCAGAUUGGCAAGUCCACUUCCCGCAAGGUACUCGGCUACGUCACGUACCACAGUCCGCUGCUCUUCCGUUUUGCCAUGAGCAGGAAGCUCAAGGGAGUCCUGGAUAAGAUCAAUAAGUUAGUGGAGGAGAUGAACAAGUUUGGCCUUGAGAAUUCUGUAUAUCAGUUGGAGCGGCAACAUCCUUGGCGACAGACUCACUCCAAACUGGACGAGUCUACCAAGAUAUUUGGAAGAGAUGAUGACAAGGAGGGGGUUGUGAAGUUGCUGCUAGACCAGCAAUAUCAGCGGAAGGUGCAGGUGCUGCCCAUAUUUGGUAUGGGAGGUCUUGGCAAGACGACGCUUGCUAAGAUGGUGUACAAUGACCAAGACGUCCAGCAACAUUUCCAGAUGAAGAUGUGGCACUGUGUGUCACACAAUUUUGAUGUUAUUGCUCUUCUGAAAUCCAUCAUUGAAUUGGCUAUAAAUGAUUUAUCAGAAAAAGAAAAAGAAAGAGAAAAAGAAUUGGAUCCACAUGAAACAUGGCGCCAUUCUAGCAGCAUUGAAGUAUUGAAGAAGAAACUUGAUCGAGUCAUUGGCUGGAAAAGAUUUUUACUUGUUCUUGAUGACGUAUGGAAUGAAGAGAAGAGGAUGUGGGAUGAUGAAUUGAAACCACUAUUGUGCUCUGUUGGUGGACCAGGAAGCAUUAUAGUGGUCACAUGUCGAAGCAAGCAAGUGGCCUCUAUAAUGUGCACCGUAAAGCCCCAUGAGCUAACAUUUCUGAGUGAAGAAGAUUCAUGGGAAUUGUUUUCAAACAAAGCAUUUAGCAAUGGUGUACAAGAGCAAACAGAGUUAGUCACCAUCGGAAGACAUAUUGUCAAGAAAUGUGGGGGGUUGCCUCUUGCGCUGAAGACAAUGGGUGGAUUGCUGAGUUCAAAGCAACAAGUACAUGAAUGGAAGUCCAUUGAAGAAAGUAACAUUGGGGAUAAUGUUGGAGGCAAAUAUGAGGUCAUGCCCAUACUUAAGUUAAGCUACAAACACCUGACAUCUGAAAUGAAGCAAUGUUUUGCAUUCUGUGCACUUUUCCCCAAGGAUUAUGUGGUGCAGAAGGAUAUGUUGAUCCAACUAUGGAUAGCAAAUGGCUUUAUUCAAGAAGAGGGAACAAUGGAUUUAACAGAGAAAGGAGAAUUCAUUUUCCAUGAAUUAGUUUGGAGGUCUUUUCUGCAAGAUAUGGAAGUGGAAGGCAUAUAUGGUGUCUAUCGUGCUAUCACAGAAUAUGAGAUAAUAGCAUGUAAAAUGCACGACUUAAUGCAUGACUUGGCCAGAGAUGUUAGCAAUGAAUGUGCCAACAUAGAAGAAUUGAUUGAAGAGAAAGCAUCGGCAAAAAAUGUCCGUCACCUGCAAUUGUCAAAGGUUAAAUUGGAAAAGAUCUUUGGAUUGUUCGAUGACAAAACAUCUCUCCGCACUUUGUUAGCUAGUUCAAGGAGACAUCAGAAUCAUAAACGGCUGCCACAUCCCACAUGUAUCAUUACGAGCAUUGCAGUGUCAGAGUGUUCGCACAAGUUUCAAGGCCGAAAUUGCAAAACAUUUACGGUAUCUUGA